CUCUCUCUCUCUCUCUCUCUUAUCACUCAUCUCUCUCUAAAUCCCUAAUGACGAUUUGUGCCUCUGGUCUCUCACAACCCCUUAACAAAGAUUGAUUCCCCUUGGGAUUCCUUGAAUCGUUAUGAGACAGCUACAUAGGGACUAAGCCCAAGUUAAUCCUUAUCUAAACAUCUCAGUUCAUCCAUUUGCAACUUCCAGUAUGUUCAUGUAGCUCCUUUGCACCAUAGCAGCCAUGACUAUUGAUCAAGCCAACUGAAGUAAGAAGUUGUGCUUUUUUAAGCAAAAAUGAUUGCUUCAGAAAGAUGGGUCAAAGCCUUUAUAAGUUUGAAGAAGCAAGAGAAACAAAAGUAUUUAAGCUUAGCAAAAAAUCUUCAACAUUGAUCAAGUUUUUAUUUAUGUGGUCACACUAGUUUUCAAGAUCUGCUUUAGGAAAGGUGGGAGUAAAGAGCAAGAAAUGGAGACUACGUACGAUAGAGUUUUUCAGGGGAUAUGGGAAGUGAACUAAUUUUUGAGAGAAGACAAAUUAAUAUUAAAUACUACAUAUGAUAUUGUGUAGUUUUAUUUUAUUAAUUCUUGAUCAUGAUAUCAUUAAUUUGGUGCUUUCUUUCCUUGAUUGUUGUGGUUAAAAGUUGAAACUGUGCACUUUUUCAAUUUAAGCUGGUCCUUUUAAGUCAUUAGGUGGUUUAGUUUUUAGUUGGAAUCUCAUUUAUGGAUCUUGAACUUCAUAAUACUAACCAGAAUGAGAAUGAGAUCAAAGAGCUGGAAGAAGGUUUGAUAAUUUAUCAGCCUUCCUUUGCAAAAGAUAUCAAUUGAUUAAAUUCUUGGUAUUAUUUUCUUGAAAUUAUUUGUUGAUACUGAAGGAUCAUUGUAAUGUUUUUAGGAAUGAUCUUCAAAUCUAGUAAAAAAGACACCAUAAUGGGGGCCUAUGUACAGAUUUACUUCUUGGACAUGCAUGUUCCAAACUUAUGCAUGCUUUAUGUUUUUCAUAAUAGCUUUUUGUUUGGUUGUUUCUUCAAUUUUUCAAUAUCUCUAUUUGUGUUUGUAUUUGGAUUGUGUUAAAGAGAUUGUCAAUAUCUCUCUUAAUGUUGCAAAAUGGUCUUUGAUUCAUAAAUAGAAGGGAUCCUUCUCCAGCAAUGAUUUUGGUCCUAAAUUGUAGGUUAAUCAAACUCCUAAGUUUAGUCUAUUGUGUUUUCUCUCUCUUUUUUUCUUUUUUUGCCAGUGGCUUCGAACUUAAAGCACACCCUGUUGUUGGUUUUCGUAGCUUAGUUUAUUGUGGUAUUCUGUUUUUGUUUCUAUUUUAUGAGUUUCUUAUGGCUUGUUGGGGUUAAAAUUUAAGCCCUCUAAUUUACAAUUGUUGUUUCGUUAUAAGUUGGCAUAUAUAAUAAUAAUAUCUAGUUAUGCGGGAGAGAACUAUAAAAAACAUAUAAAAAUCUCAUGUUUCAAAGGGAUGUUGUACUUUUAUAAGUGUUUUUUCUUUUGCCAUAAAUCUGCAACAAACGAAAAAAUAAAUAAAUAAUAAGAUUAAGCUCAUAUGGUUAUAUAUAUAUAUAUUAUUAUUAUUAUUAUUAUUAUUAUUAUUAUAUUGUGACGUAGAAAUAUGUGUUUCUAGUGGAUACAAGCAUGUUUAUGUAUAGCAGCACAAUAAAACUUUCGCUUAGCUUUGUUUAAAUUUCCAACCAAAUAGAACUUAGUCUAAAUACAUGGUCAUGCUCUAUAUUUAAUCUCUCAAACUACUUCAGACUAAUGAAUUGGCACAACCAUAUAUGCUCUUUAUUGCUUCUUUUUUAGCAAGCCUAAUCACAUGUUUGCCUUGCACACAUAUAAUAUGAAUGUCAUAUUUAGAUUCUAGGCCAUUGGAUCUUAUAUAUAUCUUAUAUAUCUUAUAUAUAUAUAUAUCUUACAUCAUGCAGCUAUUUUUAUAUGCACUGAAACAUAUGUAGUGCUUUUUAUUGCUUCUUAUAUUAUGCUAAUAUAUUUAUAUGAACAUAACCAUUUGUUAAAUGAUUAUAUAUAUAAACAUCUUUGACCUUGUUUGCACCACAUAUAGUGCCCAUACGCAGCUUUCAGUACAUAUUAAAGAUAAGUUUCAUGAGCUAAUAAAGUGCAUACAUGGGACCUAUUAAGUAACUCUUCGCUAUUAUCAGAAAAAUUAAGUGGCCUAUUUUAUAUGGUCUAUUUUGUUAUUCUGGUUCCUUUUUGAGAAAAUUAGUUCUAGCUUAAUUAAUUUCUUUUAAAGUAUACCAUAACACAAAAAAAAAGUAUUUUAUUGUCUUGUAUAUCUGUUUGCUACUACUGUCUACUACCAUGUUUGACUUUAAUUUAAUUUUGGUGUUUAUACAUGUAAUGUAAGUACACUAAUGUGUGAGUACUGAAAUACUUAAGUAAGAGUUUCUAUAUUUGUUGAGAUAGAAAUGAUAUUAUGAAAAAUAAAAUUGACAGACUACUAAAGAUUAUUGAAAUUUGUUUUUUAUGAUGUCAUUUAUCCAUUUCUUGAUAUCAAUGUUGUGUUUUAGUUCGUUAUACUUGCUUACAAACUAGAGAUUUAAAUUUCAUCAAUAUAAUAUGAUAUUUCUUUAUAGAUAUGAAAUUUUUUUGUAUUUAUAAAAGUUUUCUAUAUUAACAUAGUCACAUAUAUAACAGAGGUAGAAAAGAAUCUGGGCAUGAUUUGUAAUUUGUACCAAUAAUAUUUUAUUUUUACAGUUGGUAUUGUUUCUUGAAUGAUAUUAAAUGCCUUAAUUAGUUUUUCAAAUGAUGUCAAUCUUUGGAAGCUUAAUUAUUACAUGGAUGAUAUAUAAUAUUAUUGCAUUUCUUCUUGUAUAAGUUUUACUAUAGCAUUAGAAACACACAAAUCUUAGAAGGCCAUUUACAUUUAUGCUGAUGAGCAACCCAAGGUUGAGUAGUUAACUGGAAACUUGAUGUUGUGGAGAAGAAAGUAGUAUGAAGAUUCAUUGAAGAGGUUUGACAUGGAACGUUGUUGCUAAUUUGCAGUAAUCAAAAGAAUAAUUUAUUUUUCUAACUUUGUACACUUGUUACAUAUUCAGUGAUAAUAGAAUUCUAAAUA